rnacentral:lncRNA from 13 species
AUUUCUGCUUGAAAAAGCUUUUCUAACUGCCUGUGUAUAAUGGUUUCUAGCUUCCCUGAACAGCUGCAUAUCACGGGGGCUGUUCGAUGCUAAUGCAGAACGCCAUCAGUUGUGUUGUUACAAGGUAGGUGUUGUAUACAGAAGAUAGCCCUAUAAGUCCAUAUUAUGGCAAGAAAAACUCAAAUAAGCAUUCUUCUCUCUCUACCCCCCUUACAUCACCACACGGUCUUUCACACCUCCCAGCCCUUCUCAGCAGAGAGGAAGUGGGCAGUGUGGAGAGAAUAGGCUGCAUAGACAGGAUAUAAGUCAUUAAAGAGUUUAGAGAGAGGAAGUGAUAGAAUACAUUGAGAUGGAACACACCUGUCUUCUACUCUUGCUGUUCAGUACACUGGUAUACUCCGGCCUCGGUCAUAAUGGAGGUACGUAUCUAUUUAUCCAUCACCUGCUCAAUUUUCCUUCUCCUCUUCUUCUCCUCUUCUUCUCCUCUUCUUCUCCUCCUC